rnacentral:rRNA from 1 species
AAUGGGCGCAAGCCUGAUCCAGCCAUUCCGCGUGAGUGAAGAAGGCCUUCGGGUUGUAAAGCUCUUUCGGCAGGGAAGAAACGGCCAUGGCUAAUAUCCGUGGCUAAUGACGGUACCUGAAGAAGAAGCACCGGCUAACUACGUGCCAGCAGCCGCGGUAAUACGUAGGGUGCGAGCGUUAAUCGGAAUUACUGGGCGUAAAGCGUGCGCAGGCGGUUUUGUAAGACAGAUGUGAAAUCCCCGGGCUCAACCUGGGAACUGCGUUUGUGACUGCAAGACUCGAGUACGGCAGAGGGGGGUGGAAUUCCACGUGUAGCAGUGAAAUGCGUAGAGAUGUGGAGGAACACCGAUGGCGAAGGCAGCCCCCUGGGUCGAUACUGACGCUCAUGCACGAAAGCGUGGGGAGCAAA